AUUGAACGCUGGCGGCAGGCUUAACACAUGCAAGUCGAGCGGGGGAGGUUGCUUCGGUAACUGACCUAGCGGCGGACGGGUGAGUAAUGCUUAGGAAUCUGCCUAUUAGUGGGGGACAACAUUCCGAAAGGGAUGCUAAUACCGCAUACGCCCUACGGGGGAAAGCAGGGGAUCUUCGGACCUUGCGCUAAUAGAUGAGCCUAAGUCGGAUUAGCUAGUUGGUGGGGUAAAGGCCUACCAAGGCGACGAUCUGUAGCGGUCUGAGAGGAUGAUCCGCCACACUGGGACUGAGACACGGCCCAGACUCCUACGGGAGGCAGCAGUGGGGAAUAUUGGACAAUGGGGGGAACCCUGAUCCAGCCAUGCCGCGUGUGUGAAGAAGGCCUUAUGGUUGUAAAGCACUUUAAGCGAGGAGGAGGCUACUGAGACUAAUACUCUUGGAUAGUGGACGUUACUCGCAGAAUAAGCACCGGCUAACUCUGUGCCAGCAGCCGCGGUAACAC
rnacentral:rRNA from 1 species